rnacentral:lncRNA from 13 species
GGUGGCACAGUGUGUAAAUUAUUCUGCCACCUGUUCCCAGGCCUUUGCAGGCUCUAAUCCUAUCACACAUAAAGCCCUUGUGCCCAGGGAAGUUUGGCCUUGGAUACAGAGGCAGGUCUGUGAGUGUGGGGCCAGGUGGGUUGGGGUGGGUGGCCGACACAUGAGCCAUGCCCCCUGCCUCAUACCCACUACCACUGCCUCCUCCCUCCCCACAGGUGACUAUGGUCUUGCUGGGCAAGUGCUGUGACAUCCCCGCCAGCAGCUGUGGACUUAACCGCUGGAACUCUGCUUUCUCCCUCAAAGACGAGAUCAUCACCAGUCUCAUGUCUGCCUUAGACUCCAUGGUCUCGCUCUGUUGCCCAGGCUCGAGUGCAGUUGUGUAAUCACAGCUCCCUGCAGCCUCAGCCUUCUGGUCUCAAAGGAUCCUCCCACCUCGGCCUCCUGAGUAACUGGAACUACAGGUGUGCACCACCAUGCCCGGCUAAUUUUUAAAUUUUUUGUAGAGAUGGGGUCUUGCUGUGUUGCUCAGGCUAGUCUCCUACUCCUGGCCUCAAGCGAUCCUCCUGCCUUGGCCUCUCAAAGUGCUGGGAUGACAUGCAUGACUAUUUUGUUAUCUUCUAAGACCCUCUGUUUGGUUUGUCUCUGUGUCUGGGCAUGUGCUCUCUCUGUGUGACAGAUGCUACUUGAGGACAGGACCUGAUUCCACCUGCCUCAUCCUGUCCCUGGUGCACAGUGAGUGCUGGGUCAAUAUUUGCUAACCAGCUGAAGGGCUGGCCUCCCAUCCACUCUUCCACUCACAGGCUUCUACAUCUUACACAAAUCCCUGCCAAUCCCAGUGCACUGAGGACACAGGUCACUCCUCACUGAUCCCCACUUGCAAAGCACUGAGCCACUUUUUUUCUGUUGUAUCUGUUGUGUGUGUUGGGGUGGGGGCAUGGCAGGAUCUCCCUCUGUGCCCAGGCUAGAGUGCAGUGGUGUGAUCUCAGCUCACUGCAACCUCUGCCUCCUGGGUUCAAGCUAUUCUCCUGCCUCAGCCUCUGGAGUAGCUGGAAUUACAGGUGUGCACCAUCACGCCCACCUACUUUUUUGAAUUUUUGGUAGAGACAGGGCUCCACAAUGUUGGCCAGGCAGGUCUUGAACUCCAGACCUCAAAUGAUCUGCCUGCUUCAGCCUCCCAAAGUGCUAGAAUGACAGGCAUGAACCACCGUCCCUGG